UACGAAGGGUGCAAACGUUGCUCGGAAUCAUUGGGCGUAAAGCGCACGUAGGCGGCCCGAUAAGUCGGAUGUGAAAUCCCUCGGCUCAACCGAGGACGUGCAUUCGAAACUGUCGGGCUCGAGUAUGGAAGAGGGUCGCGGAAUUCCCGGUGUAGAGGUGAAAUUCGUGAGAUAUCAGGAGGAAUACCGGUGGCGAAGGCGGCCUUCUGGACAGUAACUGACGC
rnacentral:rRNA from 1 species